AAGAAAACACCCUUCAGGUUGGAGGUAGAGAGGAGACUCAGUGACAUAAAGACAACACCCUUCAGGAUGGAGGUAGAGAGGAGACUCAGUGACA